AGCAGAGUGGCGCAGUGGAAGCGUGCUGGGCCCAUAACCCAGAGGUCCAAUGAUCGAAACCUUGCUCUGCUA
rfam:Nematostella vectensis strain CH2 x CH6 NEMVEscaffold_15_Cont2991, whole genome shotgun sequence.